AUUUCAUCAUCAUAUCCGUAUGUAUAGGUCUCCUACAUCCUUUUAAUAAGAUGAACAGAGGGUUCUUGUUUUGGGGGUUUUCUGCUUUUUGUUAGUUAAGUUUGUAUCUGUCUACUGUGUAUAUCUCCUCUAUCUUUCUAAAAAUGCAGCACUAAUUUACUUUUUCUGGGUGAUGCACUUUAGGAUUUUCCUGGGAAGAAUGGGACACCUCAAGGAGGACCUAUGUAGACAAGAACAAUUUAUUUGUGAAACAGUUAAAUUAUUGAGAGAGCUCACAUCUGCCUUCUAACUCCAUCUGGAGAACACAUUGGUUGUAAUUAUCAGUCUUUUCUUCGCUUCCACUAACAUGGCUCUUUGACAUCAUUAUGUUACUUGGUUCUUCCAACGAAAUGGAAAGGAGGAGACUGUACUAUAAUUUUUAGAUCUCUGAGUGGUUACUCAGAGACCAGAAGGCAGACACAUGUGUUCUAUUCCAGGCUCUUAGAAAUGGUAGAAAACACACAUACACUCCGACAAGGGUAGGAAUCCUGGAAGGAUGGAAAGCAAUCAGACCAGAGAAGGAAACACAAUCUGAAAUGCUCCCAGGGUAGUUUUGUGAAGGGUUGGAAGGAGGUUCCGUGGAGAGGGGGAUUUGGAGGCAGUGCACAUACCCCAUAGCGCUCUGGCGGGGGUGGCCGCUCUGGGGGUGAGGGCCUUACCGAAGCGGCCUCUUGACCAGGCUCAGGAGGCUUUGGACUUGGCUGGGCCUGCACGGUACAAAGUGAGCAGAGACUUGGCAUCAUUUUGUUCAUUUGAACACUGCAUCAGUAAAGUAUGUAACCGAUGAUUCAUCGUGACUUGUUUCUUUGAUUUCUUUUUUUUUUUUUUUGCUUUAAAAAUUAGGUAUGGCAUGAUUUAUAUGCAAUAAGAUGGACCAAUUUGAAGUGCACAAUGCGAUACGUUCUGACAAAUGUAUACAGUGUGUAUCCACCACUGCAAUCACGACCUCUGAUGACAAACGCUUCUGCGGACAGCCCGGCAGUUCCACUCCUGGGGGCUCAGAGAGAAAGAAGUGUGCCUUGUUCCUGAGUUCCGAGGGAAAGACUGAGUCUCUGGCCAUGAAGUACGACGGCGAGCUUUCGUCCUGAGCGGACGCUGAAUUCCCUCAUGGGCUCUUUCUGAAUCUAGUGAAAUGAGCAUGUGUUCCUCGUUUUGAGUUUGUUAAUACGGUGAAUUACAUCAUGGUCUCGAAUAUCCUACCAGUUCUGGGAUGAAUUCUACUCAGUCAUAGGGGGAGAGAGAGAGACGCAGAGGCAGAGAGAAGCAGGCUCCCCGCCGAGCAGCAGGGAGCCCGAUGCGGGACUUGAUCCCAGGACCCCAGGAUCACGACCCGAGCCGAAAGCAGACGCUUAACCAUCUGAGCCACCCAGGCGCCCCAAUGCCAAGACCUGCGGUGUGGUGUUGAAUGGGGGGAUGAAAGUGCACGUCCUUGCCCUGUUCCCAGUCUUGGAGGGGCGCAGCCGGUCUGCGGCCGUCAGGUGGGGACGUCCGUUGUGGGUUCCCGCAAGUGCCCUGUAUCAGUCUGAGGAUGUUUGCUUCUCAGUUUGCCAGGGUAUGUAUUGUGAACGAUUAUUUUAUUCUGUCAGUUUUUUCCUGCAUCUGUUGAGAUAACCACUGUGGCUUUUCUCCUUUAUUCUGUUAACGUGGAAUUUCCAGAUUGAUUGUCGAAUGUUAAAUUAACUUUGCAUUCCUGAAGCAAGCCCCACUUGGUCAUGCUGUAUUAUCCUUUCAAAAUGUUGCUGGAUUCAACUGGCUAAUACUUUGUUCAGGCAUUUUGCAUCUAUGUUCAUGAGGGGAACCAAUGUGUACUUUUAUUUUCCUGUAAGAUCUUUUGUCCGGGUUUAGUACAGCAUCAUGCUGGUCUCCUAAAUGGGUCAGGAAGUGCUCCCUAUCCUUCUGAAAGACUUCUGUGGGAUUCUAGUAUUCCAUCCUAAAGAGUUUUUGUUAGAAUUCACUAAUGAAACCCACAGGGCCCGCGAUUUCCUGUGCGGGAAGGUUUUUGACCAAAGUCAAUUUCCUUAAUAGAUGUAGGACUAUUAAGAUUUUCUAUUUCUUCUUGCAUUGGCUUCAGCUUCAUACAGUUGUUUCUCAAGGACUUUGUACAUUUCACCAAAUUUAUUGCCAUAAAGUUGUUCACCUACUGUUUUUUUUUUUAAAGAUUUUAUUUAUUUAUUUGAGAGAGAAUGAGAGAGAGAGAGCACAUGAGAAGGGGGAGGGUCAGAGGGUGAAGCAGACUCCCCGCCGAGCAGGGAGCGCGAUGCGGGACUCGAUCCCGGGACUCCAGGAUCAUGACCUGAGCCGAAGGCAGUUGCUUAACCAACUGAGCCACCCAGGCACCCUCACCUACUGUUUUGAUGAGAUUUCAGCCUGCCUUUCGUUCCUGACACUGGUGAUUUGUGUGUGCUCCUUUUCUCGAUUGGUUUUACAAGAGUUUACCAAUUACUUUACAGAACCAACUUUUGGUUUUGUUGAUUGCUUUCCAUUUCAUUGAUUUUGGUCUUAUCUUUGUUAUUUCCCUCCUUUACAUAUUUUGGAUUAAAUAUGCUUUUAUCUUUUCUUAUAUUCUUAUGAUGGAAGUUUAAUUUUAAAUCUUUCUUCUAAUAGAGGUGUUUAAAGUGAUAACUUUUCUUCUAAACACUGCUUUAACUGCAUCCCACGAAUUUUGUACUUUUUUAAUUUCUUGUGUAAUAUUUUUAUUUGACCCAUAGGUUAUUUGGAAGUAAUGUUUAAUUUCCAACAUAAUUUUAAUUUGGGGAUUUUAAGGGCAUUGUUGCUGUUGAUUUCUUAUUGAAGUUUGGUGUGGUCUGAGAACAUAUUCUGUAAGAUUUAAAUCUUUUCACACUUAUUUUAUGGUCCAGCAUAUGAUCUAGCUUGAUGAACAUUCUAUGUACACUUGAAAAGGGGUAUCCUGCUGUUGUGGGGUGUAGUGUUCUGUAACGUCAGGUCACUCUGGUGGAUGGUGUUGAACCUUCUAUGUCGUCGCUGAGUUUUUGUUUACUGGUUCUCUCACUUACCGAGAGAAGGGUGUGAAAAUCUCCUGACUCCUAGUGUGGAUCUGUUGUUUUCUCCUAUAGUUCCACCACGUCUGCUUCAUGUGUCUUGAAGCUCUAUUAAGUGCAUAUAUAUAUGGGAUUAUUAUGUCUUAUGGAUUAAUAACAGUAUCACAAGGAACAGAAUUGUCUUUUUGGCAUUAUGCACACCUGAGUUGGAGUCUGUUUCGUCUGACGCGAAUAGCCAUACCACAACUGUGCUGUCUGCCCGGUGUGCUUGUUCCAGCUUUCACGGCGCCCCCCCAACCCUCCGCCCCAGGUUGGUGUAUUUAAAGCGCAUCUCUUGUAGAUGAUGUGUGUGUUGGUCUAUGUCUUCUUCCAAGGACACCUGUCAUUGCAUUUAGGGCCUGCCCAAAGCCAGGAUGACCUCAUCUUGGGAUCUCCAGGGGAUAGGGGACAGGACACAGGACACAGCCACAGGGCACAGGACAUGGACUGGCCUUUCUGGGCCACUGCAGCUGCGGUCACGUGUUUAUAAGCUCUGAGUAUUUUCACGAGCGCCCAGCAAAGCAGCCUGGCUGGAGUAUUCUCUGGGCCGUUCCAGGGCCCAGCAGUGGAGUGCCCUUCUUAGUCACCCCACCAGCCCAGGACUUCAUGGACUAGGCCUGGACUAGGGCCCCCGGUCCUCUGGCCUCACCUAGGGCCCUGUUCCACCUCCCUGUUCCAAGGCACAGAAACCCAGAGCUUUGGAGUCCUGUGCAGCUGAAGGUCAUGCCACAGCUGAGCAGUAGCAGCACUAGUUCCUGAGUGUCUGAGCCUCUUACUCACCCGGAGAUCCCAUGGCCUCGCUGCAAGAAAUACAGACAUUUCCAGGCAGUGGGGCAACUCUGCCUGGCUUUCUAUCCAAGCCUUCCCCAGCCAUGCAGAGAAAGCACCCCUUCAUCUUCCUAAGGAAUCUUCUAGAAAUGGGCAGAGUCAUGUGCUUUUAAUUCAGACAUGACAAUCACAUCCGAUUCCAAGGUUGUCAUUUGAGAACAGCCAAUGCGUUCACAUAUCCAGAGAGCAGAUCGUAAAGACGGUACCAAGCGCCCAUCUGGACAACUGCAGCAGUAUGGAGUGGGGCAAGCUUGUGAUGGGCGUCGUAGCGCUGGGCCGGCACCCGAAGCAAGCUUUCUCUUCUACUGUUUGAAAUACAGCUGGAGAGCUGAAAUCAUAUUAGGGUCAACUGGCUUCUCGUUCAAGAUAAACACUUUUUUUUUUUUUGGUACCAACUUAGUUCAGGUUUCUGAAGCCAAGUCAGGGAAGGCGUCGUCGGUCUAAUGAAUUCCAGCUCAUCCGGGGCUUCCCGUGACAAGUCAUUCAUCACGGAACCUCUUCAAAGCACAGAGGAAACACUGAAGGCAUAAAGUGCCCUUUCCAUUUUAACAACCCCCACCGGCCACUCUAUCACUGUCAAGUAAGAUCUUGGAAAUUAUCACCAAGAAUAAAGGGA